UACGGGGGGAGCAAGCGUUGUUCGGAUUUACUGGGCGUAAAGGGCGCGUAGGCGGCGUGACAAGUCACUUGUGAAAUCUCCGGGCUUAACCCGGAGCGGUCAAGUGAUACUGUCGUGCUAGAGUGCGGAAGGGGCUACUGGAAUUCUCGGUGUAGCGGUGAAAUGCGUAGAUAUCGAGAGGAACACCUGCGGCGAAGGCGGGUAGCUGGGCCGACACCGACGCUGAUGCGCGAAAGCCAGGGGAGCGAACGGG
rnacentral:rRNA from 1 species